rnacentral:tRNA from 1 species
GGAGAGAUAGCUCAGCAGUUAGGAGUACUGGCUGCACUUCCAGAGGACCUGGGUUCAAUUCCCAGUCCCCUCA